GGAUUAGCGAAGAUCAGGUAACAGUAGUUAAUGGAGAGUGUCUGAAGAGAGCUGGUGGUUGGUGCAAACCAGUGAACUCCCAUCUAACGAAAUACAGCCUGUGAGCUCCGUUUAUCUCAAUGGGAUAGAUGGCGGGAACCCUUUCCCGUUAUGCUGAGAAGUGGGAGGCAUGAAGCCUUCAACAAGGGUGGUACCGCGGGUAAUCGAUAAACCCCGUCCCUUAU
rnacentral:ncRNA from 1 species